rnacentral:rRNA from 1 species
AGAGUUUGAUCCUGGCUCAGAUUGAACGCUGGCGGCAUGCCUUACACAUGCAAGUCGAACGGCAGCGCGGGGCAACCUGGCGGCGAGUGGCGAACGGGUGAGUAAUAUAUCGGAACGUGCCCUGGAGUGGGGGAUAACGCAGCGAAAGUUGCGCUAAUACCGCAUACGAUCUAAGGAUGAAAGCAGGGGACCGCAAGGCCUUGUGCUCCUGGAGCGGCCGAUAUCUGAUUAGCUAGUUGGUGGGGUAAAGGCCUACCAAGGCAUCGAUCAGUAGCUGGUCUGAGAGGACGACCAGCCACACUGGAACUGAGACACGGUCCAGACUCCUACGGGAGGCAGCAGUGGGGAAUUUUGGACAAUGGGCGCAAGCCUGAUCCAGCAAUGCCGCGUGAGUGAAGAAGGCCUUCGGGUUGUAAAGCUCUUUUGUCAGGGAAGAAACGGUAUGGGCUAAUAUCCCGUACUAAUGACGGUACCUGAAGAAUAAGCACCGGCUAACUACGUGCCAGCAGCCGCGGUAAUACGUAGGGUGCAAGCGUUAAUCGGAAUUACUGGGCGUAAAGCGUGCGCAGGCGGUUUUGUAAGUCUGUCGUGAAAUCCCCGGGCUCAACCUGGGAAUUGCGAUGGAGACUGCAAGGCUAGAAUCUGGCAGAGGGGGGUAGAAUUCCACGUAGCAGUGAAAUGCGUAGAGAUGUGGAGGAACACCGAUGGCGAAGGCAGCCCCCUGGGUCAAGAUUGACGCUCAUGCACGAAAGCGUGGGGAGCAAACAGGAUUAGAUACCCUAGUAGUCC